CCUACGGGGGGCAGCAGUGGGGAAUAUUGCACAAUGGGGGAAACCCUGAUGCAGCGACGCCGCGUGAGUGAAGAAGUAUUUCGGUAGGUAAAGCUCUAUCAGCAGGGAAGAAAAUGACGGUACCUGACGAAGAAGCCACGGCUAACUACGUGCCAGCAGCCGCGGUAAUACGUAGGGGGCAAGCGUUAUCCGGAUUUACUGGGUGUAAAGGGAGCGUAGACGGCCAGACAAGUCAGAAGUGAAAGCCCAGGGCUCAACCCUGGGACUGCGUUUGAAACGGCCGGGCUGGAGUGCCGGAGAGGUAACCGGAAUUCCUCGUGUCGCGGUGCACUGCGUAGAUAUUAGGAG
rnacentral:rRNA from 1 species